rnacentral:rRNA from 1 species
UGAGCAACCUGCCCUUCACAUUGGGAUAACCCCGGGAAACCGGGGCUAAUACCGGAUACUCCGGUCGAACCGCAUGGCUCGAUCGGGAAAGCUCCGACGGUCUGGGAUGGGCCCGCGGCCUAUCAGCUUGUUGGUGGGGUAACGGCCUGCCAAGGCGACGACGGGUAGCUGGUCUGAGAGGACGACCAGCCACACUGGAACUGAGAUACGGUCCAGACUCCUACGGGAG